rnacentral:piRNA from 1 species
UAAAUGGCUGGCAAGGUUCCCUACACCCCUU